UCAAGGAACUAAGAGUUUAUGGGGGAUACCUUGGCAUUCAGAAGCGAUGAAGGACGUGGUUACCGACGAUACGCUUCGGGGAGCUGGAAACAAGCUAUGAUCCGGAGGUCUCCGAAUGAGGAAACUUUAAUAUAACUGCUUAUUGAAUUCAUAGAUAAGUAAGAGCGAACCUAGGGAAUUGAAACAUCUUAGUACCUGGAGGAAGAGAAAGUAAAAACGAUUCCCUGAGUAGCGGCGAGCGAAACGGGAACAGCCUAAACUCAAUUCAAAAUUGAGGGUAGUGGGACAAUUACAAACGAUACUGUGACAAUUAGAAGAACAAGUUUGGAAUACUUGACCAUAGAGAGUGAUAGUCUCGUAUUCGAAAAUUGAAACAAUCAAAUUGAAUCCCAAGUAGCAUGGAGCACGUGAAAUUCCGUGUGAAUCUGCGAGGACCACCUCGUAAGGCUAAAUAUUCCUGAAUGACCGAUAGUGAAACAGUACCGUGAGGGAAAGGUGAAAAGAACCCCGGGAGGGGAGUGAAAAGAACAUGAAACCGUAAACUUACAAGCAGUAGAAGGACGACUAAAACGUCUGCCUGCGUGCCUGUUGAAGAAUGAGCCGGCGACUCAUAGGUAGUGGCAGGUUAAGGCAGUGAAUGCUGGAGCCACAGUGAAAGCGAGCCUGAAUAGGGCGUUUGUCACUAGUUAUGGACCCGAACCCGGGUGAUCUAACCAUGGUCAGGUUGAAGCUUAGGUAAUACUAAGUGGAGGACCGAACCGACUGAUGUUGAAAAAUCAGCGGAUGAAUUGUGGUUAGGGGUGAAAUGCCAAUCGAACUCGGAGCUAGCUGGUUCUCCCCGAAAUGCGUUUUGGCGCAGCGGUAGAUGUUAUAGCUUAGGGGUAAAGCACUGUUACGUAUGCGGGCUGGUAAUUCGGUACCAAAUCGUUGCAAACUAAGAAUACUAAGUGUACAGUCUACCAGUAAGACUGUGGGGGAUAAGCUCCAUUGUCAAGAGGGAAACAGCCCAGAGCACCAGUUAAGGCCCUUAAAUAAUUACUAAGUGAUAAAGGAGGUGGGAGUGCAUAAACAAUCAGGAGGUUUGCUUAGAAGCAGCAAUCCUUUAAAGAGUGCGUAAUAGCUCACUGAUCGAGUAAACCUGCGCCGAAAAUGAACGGGACUAAGUAAUUUGCCGAAACUGUGCGAUAUAUAGAAAUAUAUCGGUAGGGGAGCGUUCUGUUGUAGGUCGAAGUAUUAGCGUAAGCGGAUAUGGACGAAGCAGAAGUGAGAAUGUCGGCUUGAGUAACGAAAAUAUAGGUGAGAAUCCUAUACCCCGAAAACCCAAGGUUUCCUCCGGAAGGCUCGUCCGCGGAGGGUAAGUCAGGACCUAAGGCGAGGCUGAAAAGCGUAGUCGAUGGACAACUGGUUAAUAUUCCAGUACCAUUUUUUAUUGACAACGAGGGACGGAGAAGGCUAAACCAGCCGGAUAUUGGUUACCGGUUUAAACGUUCGAGAUGUUGAGAAGCGGCGAAAACGCUUUGAGUUGAGACGUGAGUACGAGACGCUAAGGCGUUGAAGUGGUGUAUGUCAUACUUCCAAGAAAAGCUUGCACUGUCAUAAAUAAAAAAUGCCUGUACCAUAACCGACACAGGUGGGUAGGUAGAGUAUACUAAGGGGCGCGAGAUAACUCUCUCUAAGGAACUCGGCAAAAUGACUCCGUAACUUCGGGAGAAGGAGUGCCUUAUUCGUAAGGCUGCAAUAACAAGAUCCAAGCAACUGUUUAUCAAAAACACAGGUCUCCGCUAAGUCGUAAGACGAUGUAUGGGGGCUGACGCCUGCCCAGUGCCAGAAGGUUAAAGAAGUUGGUUAGCAUUAGCGAAGCUGAUAACUGAAGCCCUGGUGAACGGCGGCCGUAACUAUAACGGUCCUAAGGUAGCGAAAUUCCUUGUCGGGUAAGUUCCGACCCGCACGAAAGGCGUAAUGAUUUGGAUACUGUCUCGGAGAGGGGCUCGGUGAAAUAGACUUGUCUGUGAAGAUGCGGACUACCUGCACCAGGACAGAAA
rnacentral:rRNA from 1 species